GAUGAGCACUCCGGCCUUGUAAACUGGAUUUUGUUAAGUCAUUUAGGAGUUACAUGCCUGCCAAGGAGGUGCCAGAGGAGCGUAGCUUGCUGUGCUGCUCUUGUGAGUGUGAACUACACUUCUCAGGAUAAAAUUACUAAAUGCUGAACUGGAAGGAGAUACAUACAAUCACAUCCUCCAAGCUGACAUAAGCUGGCUCCAGCACACCACUGAAGGAGAUUCGUUCUCAUACAUAACACCAGGGAAAAAAUGUAAAAUCAGAUCAUCUAUGACAUGCUCUAACAAUGGACCAGAAUAUUUUCUUCCUGGAAUGUAUCAUUGCCAAGUUUUUGUGUCAUGGGAAGAAAAGAUAGAGGGAGGAAGGGAAGGAAGGAAAAAGAAAAGAAAGACAUGGCAUAUUAGAGAAAAAAUAUCAAGUGGAAUCUGCAUCAUAUAAAAUGAGUAGUAAAUUGAACCAAGUUAAACUAUAGAAACAGCUUCCUUCUAACCCUAAGAACCUCUGAGUCUCAAAAGUAAAAUCACUUCUUAGCAUCCUCCUCCUUCUUUCUUUUGUAACAUUUUAUUAAGAUGCUGUGGUACUUCUUUUUAAAGAAAAGGACAGAUUUUUAAAGAUGCAGGAUAUAUUCAGUAGCAUGCAGGACUCUAGAAAUAGGAGUUCUGAAUGCUAAGCCUGAAUGUUACUGUCUUUGGGGAAAUGGGUUCAGAUGAUGAGUCCUCCUUAUUGUGGAGAAAGAGAAAAGUUGAAUAGUUUGAAGACUUCUUAGCAGUGAAACUCAACUCUGAAGAGCCUUUGAGGUGAGUGAAAUAAAUCAGAAACAUAUGGAUUACAUUUCGCCUCAAGUGCCUCAGGGCUCAGAGUGUUUGGCUAAGUACAUUUUAGGUUUUUCCCAAUACAGAAUUGAAAAAAUACGAUUGCCUGAAGCAGUUUCCCAAGCCCAACUUGUACUAGGAUUCAGCUCAAGGAAUGUCUUGCCCCUCUUCCAUUAGAAAUGCAAAUGAUCCCCAAGCAUCAAAUUUUUCAGAAUGCUCUCAGGGAACGCCUGGCUGAUCUGUAGGAGGCGGCUCCAUAGAUGGCAUCAUUAUGAGAAGAAAAGGGGAGAAGAAAGAGAAAGAGAGAAAAAAAAAUCCUCUCUUCAGAAUCUUCUUUGUGCUAAGCAAUUAUUUGUGUUCUUUCUAGUUGCCUUUCAUUCUGAGCAAAGGCAAUCACAAUGUUGUGUGAACCUCUGGGUGUGAACGAGGUCAUUAGGUUGUCUCCAGGGAAGGUCACUAGAAAAAUCUGGUCCAGAGGAUCACACCAGAAACCUCUCAGACCCCCCCAAAAAAGGAGAAGCUAGUAGAAUUGCUAAAAUGAGUACAGGAUACAUAUUUCUUCCAUACUAGUAGAGCAUUUAUGAUAUUGGGGCUAGAUAUCAGCUG